AAAUAAGAAAUAAUGAUAAAAUUUAAGAAAAAGAUAAUUUUAUUAGUGAAUUUUGAAAAAAAAAAAAAUUUCUUUGAUUAUAAUCAUCCCAUUUGAUAGAAAAAAUAGAAAAGAAUGGAUUAGGGUUAGUUAAAUUUGAUUUAUUUAUUAAAAGAUAAUUAAUUUAAAAAAAGGGAUAACUUCAAAAACCCCCCUUGUGGUUUCCAACUUUCUCACUUUAGUACCCUGUGGUUUAAAGUGUAUCAAUUUGCCCCCCUGUGAUUUUGUUUUUAUUUUUUCUAUAGCUUUUUUCUUAAUAUUUCGUUAAAUUAUAUGCAAAAAAACAUCAGAUAUCCAUCUAGAUUUAUCGAAUAUUUAUUUUAGUACCCUUUAAUUUUAAUUUUGUUACUGAUUUGAGAAAAAAAAAACAAUAAAAUUGAUUAAAAAAAAAAGAGAAAAACGAAAUCACAGGGGGGCAAAUUGAUACACUUUAAACCACAGGGUACUAAAGUGAGAAAGUUGGAAACCACAGGGGGGGU
rnacentral:lncRNA from 1 species